rnacentral:lncRNA from 1 species
GUAUAUUCUAGUCCAAAUUCCAGGUUCAUGAUAUUACAUCUACAUCUGCUGAUGGAGAGUGAUCGAGGAAUUAAACAUCAAACAUAUAUGCAAGUCAGCAAUAUGAAAAUAAUGUGAUAAUUAAAAUAAAAGUACAUGUUAUUUUAGCAUUAAUAAAAAAAAAAGCUGUCUAAAUAAUGAAAACUUUUCCAAUAAUAAUGCAUCAACAAUAUAAUUUUACUCUCACAAAUAUGCAAACAACAUAACCAAUAGACUAUUAUUCCACUAAUUAUUUGGACUGUUUUUUUCAUUUAUCUAAUUUAUUUUAAUCCAACGUUGGAACUAGACUUUCAUAACAUUAAUAACUAUUAGUUUGCAAAUUUAGCUUUGUAGUCGGUCCACAGUUGAUCAACUGUCUUCCCAAGCAGCUCCUGAAAGAAGUUGUCACUGUAGCCAUCUCUCAUCUUCUUGUUCAGUUCAGCCACAAACCCUUGUUGAAGAUCAUUGCAAUAGUCCAGGAACCUUGCAGUCACUGAAUAACCUUCAUCCCACCUUUGACCUUCACCCGACUUUACCCAUCCAUUGGGCACAUAAUCCGCCUUCAACCUCACAAAGUCUGCAAUCCCUUCUAUCAAUCCAACAGGAGCUUGACCCUGUCCAUUCCACUGCCAUGAAUGUGUCAUCUCAUGGUAAAGUACCCCAUUGAAAUCUGUUUUGAUAUCACCCUGUAUGCCCUGGACACAAGGUAUCAAAUAUUAUACGACAAUAACAAUAUGAGGUUAAAAAAAUACAGAAAUAUUAAUAUCGGUUUAAAAUAUCAACAAUCGCUUACAAAAAUGAGCGCAUGAUGACUUUAUGGAGUGUAAAUAAUAAUUAUAAAAAAAUUGAAUUUAAAAAGUAAUACCAUAAAUAUAUGAAAAACAUUAACAAAAGUUUACCUCAAUGUAUUUAGCCCCGACAUGAAUCUCAUCGUUGCUGGAAAAUGCAAUGCCAUCGAUGUCUUCCACAAACAAGCUCACGCGUUGCACGUCCCUUCUAUCUGCCGGUGUAGUUUCCGCGAAGAGGUUCCAAAUGAAAUCUGUGGCGGUUCCCAUUGUUUGCUGGGUGUAGUCCAACCCCAGCUCAUUUGUAAAGCGGAUACCGCCGGGGGUGUUCGGGGCCCGGUUUUCGACAACAAAUUCGACAGCAUGGCCCCCAUGCAAGGAAGCUAGGGCAAGGAAAGAGGCAAGGAUGAAAAAAGAGAGAAAGCGAGCAGCCAUAGUGUUUGUAAUAACGGUGAGUGAGUUUGGAGCUAGCUAGUUUAGGUUUUGUAAACGGAAAAUUGUCAUUGGCAGGUUUAUAUAGAACUCUAUUUACAAUCACUGCUUUGACUGUUCAAUUUUUUGCCGUGUCCUAGGGUUGUGACUUUCCUCUCAGAGUUUAGAAAGUCUCUCCACUACAUCCUCGUCAUACUAAAACAUUGAAACAAGUCUUCUUCUUCUUGUUCUAGAAACGGUUCUUAUUAAUUGUACAAAAUUUCUGGUCCAUGCAUUCAUAUAUAUAUGAAUGCUUUUCUUAAGGUCCAGCUUUCGUUUUGGGCUAAACCAUAUUUGACGCCAUUAAGAUUUGGGUCAUCAUCAAAUUGGGUCAAGAGAUUUUAAUUUUAUCAAUUUACACAAUAUCGUUUUAAAAUUCAACCAAUUUAAAUGUUGUCACUGACUCUAUGAACAGGUUUAUAUAGAACAUUAUCUCCAAUCGCUGCUUGAAUUUUUGAUCUUUUGUGGUGUCGUAGGGUUGGGACUUUCCUCUCAAUUUUAGAAAGUCUCUCCACUGUAUCUUCAUCAUACUAAAUCAAGUCUUCCUCUUUCUGUUUUGUUUUUUUUAAACCACAAUAUUUACUUUAAUCUUAAAAAAAACUGAGAUGAAAGAGAGGACAAAAAUAAACAGAGAAACAGAGAAAGAGAAAGGUGAGAGAAAAAAGAAGAAGAUAAGUAAUGGAGAAAGAAAGUGAUGGGGAGGGCGAAAAGAGAAGAACAAUGAGAGAGAGAAGAAGAAGAAGAAGAAGAGAGAGGGAAAAAGUGGUGAAGAUGGCUGGGGAUGGAGUCGCGGGGGAGGCUGGGAAGAAAGAAACAGCGAGGAAGAAGAGGGAAGAAGAAGGAAAAUAAUAAAAAGAGAGAGAGAGAGAGAGAGGUAAAAAAAAAAGAGGGGGAAAUAUUAAAUAAAAGGAAAGAAAGAGAGAGAAUAGGAAAAAUAAAAAUAAAGAAGAUGGAUACUAUUCGGUACAGUAUGACACCAAACGAGAUGAGAAAUAUGGAACCGGUGUCAUGUCAAACAGAAACGGUAUCAUACCGUUUACUAUGCAACACCAAACAAGAUUGGCACGGUUUGGGUUCGGUAUCGAUUUUCCGGUUUUGAUCCCAACCUUAGCGCUAGGAAAAGAAGAAAGGCAUAUUGUUGGAAUUUUUGGAUCGAUUAAGGAAGUUUGAAGCAAAUAUGGAUUCUGUCAAGAUUUAUAUUUAAUUUAAGGCUUAAUAUCACAAAACGUCCCUAAGGUUUACGAAACUAUCAUAUUGCAUCCUUAUUGUUUUUUUUUUUUUGUCAUUCGUGGUCCUCAAGGUUGGUAUGUGUGCUCACAAAUAGUCCAUGCCGUCAGGUUCCAUCAAAAACUCCAUUCAUUUGCUGACGUUGCAUAUAUAUAUAUAUUAAUUAUUUAAAAUUUAAAAUUCAUAGAUAAUAUUUUGGUGCAUAAAAUUUUGGUUUUUUCAUUUAAGAUUUUGGUUUUUCAUUUCUAGAUUUAAAAAACUCCCUUAGUUUGCUCAUGUAGCAUAUAUGUGGAGCUCACAUCUCUAAUAAUAUAGUGUCACGUGUAUUUAAAAUAUAAUAUAUAUUUUUAAAUAAUUUAAAUUCAUAAAAUUUAAAUAAAAAAUUCUGAGGUUUUAUGAAUUUUAAAUGAAAAAAUAAAAAAAUUUCGCAGGGACCAUUUUUAAGCAUAUAUAUUAACUUUGAGGAUCACGACUGACACAAAAAACCUCAGGGACAUUUUUUGAUAUAUAUAUGUCACGUCAACAAACUAACAGAGUUUUUGACAGAACUUGACAGCAUGGACCAUUUGUGAGCACACAUACUAACUUUAAGGACUAGAAAUGACACAAAAAAAUAAUAAUGAUGCAAUCUGAUAGUUUCGUAAACUUUAAAGACGUUUUGUUAUAUUAAGCCUUAAAGUAAACACAAAUCUUGACAGAGUCUAUAUUUAUUUCAAAUUUCCUCAAUCAAUCCAAAAAUUCCAACCAUAUGUCUUUCUUAUUUCCUAAAAGCUAAUUUUUCUUUGAUUUUUCUUGGUAAUUAUGGAGAGGCUUUAAUACGUUGGGCAGCUAUCAUUGACCUUGACUUGGACUCGGGUUUUUUUUCUCUUUCUGCCGACUUGACCCUGCUGGUUAUUAAUAAUUUUGAUUACUUGGUCUAUUUUAAUUAUUUUAUUAUGAUUAGUCAUAAUUUGAUUUUUUCCGCGGAAUGUAUUUAUAUAUAAAACAAACAUAAGCCAACGGAGUUUAGUACAAUAGAAAAUAGUCUUGAUUUGCAGACUAUAGAGGUCUUAGGUUUCAACUCUCAUGACAUCUUGAGUAUAUGUGUGAGAAACCCUCAUGUCUCUCCUGUAAUUUAAACUAUCGCUUGUACUGAAAAAAACAAACAAACAAAUAGAAAAACCUCCAAGAACAAAAGAUUUAAAACCUACCACACCACAUAAAGCUAUUUUUUUUCCUCCCAUAUUUCGGAAGUAUAUUCUAGUCCAAAUUCCAGGUUCAUGAUAUUACAUCUACAUCUGCUGGUGGACAGUUAUCGAGGAAUUUGACAUAUAUGCAUCAACAAUAUAAUUUAGUCUCACAAAUAUGCAAACAACUAGUCUUUGGCUUACUCGUAGUUGUAUGUGUAGACUAUUAUUCUACUAAUUAUUUGGACUUUGUUUUUAACUAAUUUAUUUUAGUCCAACUGUGGAUACAAAACCCACAUCUUAUUUGUUCGUAUUAGAGCUAGACUUUCAUAACAUUAAUAACUAUAGUGCACAUGCUUAAUUAGUUUGCAAAUUUAGCUUUGUAGUCGGUCCACAGUUGAUCAACUGUCUUCCCAAGCAGCUCGUGAAAGAAGCUGUCACUAUAGCCAUCUCUCAUCUUCUUGUUCAGUUGAGCCACAAACCCUUGUUGUUGAUGAAGACCAUUGCAAUAGUCCAGGAACCUUGCAGUCACUGAAGAACCUUGCUUCCAACUUAGACCUUCACCCGGUUUUGCCCAACUAUGGGGCACAUAAUUUGCCUUCAACCUCACAAAGUCUGCAAUCCCUUCUAUCAAUCCAUUUGGAGCUUGAUGAUUUGCAUGACUCUGCCAUAUAUGUGUCAUCUCAUGGUAAAGUACCCCACUGAACUCUGUUUUUAUGUCACCCGGUAUGCUCUGGAUACAAGGUAUCAAAUAUGACAGCAACAGUAUGAGGUUAAAAAAUACGGAAAUAUUGAAAUCGGUUAAAUAUCAACAAAACAUGAAGCUAUCAUGUAGAGUUUUUAUUCACGUGCGCUCUAAAAAAGUCAUCAUGAACUUCUCAUAGUUCAGUGAUCUCACUGUUCAUUAACUAAAUUGACAUUAAAAGUGAGUGCACGAUGAUUUUUAUAGAGUGUAAAUAUUAACUCUAAGAAAAAUUGAAUCGAAAGUAAUACCAUAAAUAUAUGAAAGAUAUCACCAGAAGUUUAUACCUCAAUGUAUUUAGCCCCAACAUGAAUCUCAUUGUUGAUGACAUGCGCAGUGCCAGGGAUGUUAUCCACAAACAAGCUUACGUUUUUCACGUUCUUUCUAUCUGCCGGUGUAGUUUCAUUGAAGAGGUUCCAAAUGAAAUUUGUGGCGUUUCCCAUUUUUUGCUGGGUGUAGUUCACACCCAGCUUAUUUUUGAAGCGCAUACCGCCGGGGGUGUUUGGAGCCCGGUUAACGACGGCGUAGUGGACAGCAUGAGCCCCAUGCAAGGAUGCUAGGGCAAGGAGAGAGGCGAGCAUGAAAGAAAAGAGAAAACGAGCAGCAGCCAUACCCGUAGUGUGUGUUUGUAAUAAUACUGAUCAGUGAGUUUGGAGCUAGUUUAGGUUUUGCAUACGGCUCUAGAGCCUCUAUGUGCAGAUUUAUAUAGAACUCUAUCUCAAAUUACUGCUUGACUUUUCUAUAUAUUUUUCUUUCUAAUCUCUUUGUUUUCUUCGGUUCUUAACCACAACUCCGUUAUCUGUAUUUGAUAUUCAUGUAUGCAAUAAGGUUACUGACUCCUCCUAAUAGCAAGUUGCAGGCAUCAUGCAUGGUCCAUGCCGUCGAAUUAUUAUGGCCGUUGAAGUUGGUCCACUGCUCUGGACUAGACCAUUAACCUUAAAGUACAAAAAUAUGCAUAAUAAGCAUGUUUGUAUGGACUGCUUUUAAGCAGUUAUAUGUAUUUGUCAGGAAGCUUACUAUUAAAGGUCAUUUAGAAACCAUCAUUAUCUUUCAUCUAGAUUGGAUCAUAAUAAUUUACCCAAGUGUAUAGCCCACUUGUGAAUCAUCUGACCCAACAUGGGCCUACUAAUCAGGUUAAUUAUGGGCCUAAACCCCACAAAACCCUAACUUUAUUUUUAGUUUUCGCCCUCUCUCUCUCUCUUAAUAUUGCUUUCCCUCUACAUAUUAUAUACCCUGGUCUGCACUUCUUACCAAAUAAGGUCGAAGUGUGGUUCACUUCACCCUGUUAGGACUUAAGAUCACAUAUUGGAAAAAUAGUAUAUUAGAGGGCACCCUUUCCUUAUAAGUCAAUUUUUACGGACAUGUUCUACUUAUGGGUUCUUAACACACCCAACCCUAUCUCUGAUGGCCAAAGAAUUCAAGGUAACUCUGAUACUUACUACAACAAGAACAAAUACACAAACAUGAUAUCGAGUUAUUUUGACUUCAAAACAGUAAUAAGUUAUAUGUAUGGUGAUUUAUCUACUUCAUCCCAAAUAUUUCAUACUCAAUUUCGUGUCAUGUAAAUAUUUCAUAUUGCUUUAUUUUGUAUUAGCAACGCAAACAAGAUCCGACAUGGCACGAGAUCAUGUCAAAAAUCUCAUCAAAAACAUGUGCUAAGUGUCUGAAUUUUAUACCUUGGCAUGAAGUGAACCAUUCAUAUACACCAAACCAAGAAAAAGAUAAUUAAAAAGGUUUAACUAAUAUUACAAUGGUGUUUGACCGGGGAAAAAAAACGCUAUUGAUGUGUAUCAAAAGACUCGGAACUAAACCAAUUUACAAAUAUGAAUGAACAUAAAAUGUAUAUUUCUAUUUUGUGGCCAGUCAUUUCCACUGGCCAAAAAACAACAGAAAUUGAAAAUAAAAUAAAAUCUGUAGUGUUUGUGUUUGAGAUAUGAGGAACCAAGGCUGUGACUACGUCUAAUGCCACCUCUUAUGCAAAGUUUUCCUCAGCCUUUAAGCUUGGCUCCUUCAAGAAAAUCUCCCAUUUUUGUGUGUAUUAAGCAGAAGUAAUAGCCUCCAUGUCGAUCAGUGGCCACUUCCCCUGCGGCUUGGCCCAGAGUAAGCUUGUGCUAUAAUUGAAUUCUUGAUGGACUCAAAAGUGGAGCCUCCAAGAGGUCUUGAAGCCUCAACUUGUAGAGAGUAAGAGAGCAAGAGGAAGAAGAUGAUCAUGGAAAUGGCAUUGAAAGCCAAAACAAGAGUAGAAGAAUGAGAUGUCAUUUUCAAUACAGUUCCUGCAAAGUUUCGCUUUGAUCAGGCAGGAGGCUUAAAGAAUGUUGGGAUGAAUAGGAGAUAGCUUACUUAAUUUCUUAUAUAUAGAGAUUAGAGAGAGAGAGAGAGAGAGAGAGGGUACGUACGUGGGAGCUUAGGGAAGAAGCUUUGAUUUUCGUUCAUUGACUUGGUAUUGUGGGCAAGGGUUGUGUUUUUUGAGUCUUAUGAGUCUGGAGUUUGAAAAUGUAAACCUCAGGCCUUGACUAUAUUGAAGUUGUUCCAAAUUUGAAAUGUUGAAAUAAGAAUUAGUCAAUCGUCGGGCCAACAUUACAGUUAAGGUUGGUGGAAUUCCUUGUAUUAUAAAUAAGGAUAUGCAUAUUAAUUCUAAUAUUUUGGUUGCCCUUUUCUGACUCGAUCACAAUAGAUAUGGAAAGAAUCGUCUUUCCUCGCAUACUCACCAAUUAAUGCCCAACUUGUUUAAUUUUUUAGAUAUUUUUCUAUAUCCUGGCCUUUCUUUUUAAGACAUUCAUUUGAACAUGUAUGGCAUUCUUUUAUAUGCUAUGUUACGGAUUAGAUAGCUUUUUUGUUUAAUUUAAAUUGGAACGUCAAUAAUUAUUUGGUUUAGUGACACUCAGUCUUCAUUUUAUUAAAGUAACUCAAAGUCCAAAAUUUAUAACACGUUUUGGGCUGUGGUCAAAUGCAGUUUCAAAUUCACAGGCAACUUAUGUAGCUCCCUAUAAAUUUGAAACACCAUUUUCUGAUGUUAAACGGUAUGCAUGACACUGUAAUUAUCCCUUUUAACUAUUUGCCAAUACUUUUAGGUGAGAUGAUUACAACAUCAUGCAUUACCCCAAAAAAAAAAGAAAAAAAGGCUGUCUUUUUCAAAUUGGGAUUAUUUGAAAAGCCACUACUUUUUUAUAAUCUACUAUUUUGUCUCGUCUUUUGACAACAAAGUCUGAGAAAAAUGUUCAAAGCAACACUUAACUUGGUAAUGCUUUGGACCCUGCAAAAUCAACUAUAUGCACUUACUAUUCAGCAAUUGGUACAAUAUUGAAAAUUAAAGAAGAAGAAGACCGCCAUAUACAAAUAAAUGUAAGAAGAAAAAAAAAUCAAGCAUGAGAAUUCUUACGAGUCAGGAACAUGUGCCAGCAUAAACAAUGGAGUAAGUAAAAGAUUGAAUUGGUCUCAAAACAACAUCCAACUUUUGACGUGUUGAUUGUGGUUUCAGACUCUCUCACUGACUGCUCAAAUUCACAUUUUUUCCAGAGUCCACAUUACAUAAUUUUUAAAUAGCUUGAGUUGAUGAAAGUCCAAUUAAUCUUUUUGUCAACGCCACAAAUUCCUAAUUCAACCAUCUCUUAUCCCCAGCUACUGCGCAUAUACAUAUAUCCAUAGUUCAACUCUCAAUUUUUUCAUUUUUAUUUUCAAUUUGAAAGAAAAAAAAAAUGAAAGGACUCAUUAUGUCAUUUACUACAUGCUCAGUUGUAAUCUUAAAUUUUGGAUACUAAGCUAAAUGAUACUAAUGUUUUAGUUAUUCUCGUUUUCAUCUUGUAACGUGGUUUUAUAAUCAGAAUCAUCUAUCUUUUAGGCCAUCCUUUUAUAGAUCUACAAAAAAUAAACUAAAUCGAAAAUUAUUUUAGUCAUCUAAUUGUUAUCAAAUAAAUGGACAACCCUAGUAUUUUGGUUAAACACUAAACUAUCACACUGUAAAAGAAAUGGCUUAUCUAUUUCCAAUUUUGGUCAACAUUUUUGCACGAUUAAUUCUUAUAAUGACCUAAAAAAUGAACGGUCGUUAUCAUCAUACAAUAUUGCACAAUAAAAAUAAGAAGAAAAAAAGUAUAGGGAAUACGGAGCUCGCAUUCCUCGUUUUUAUAUUUACUCUCACCAUAAAUCUGAAUUAUUUCUAACUCUAAUAUCAUCUGCCGACCUUAAGGUCUUCAAAAUUUGAAGAGCCUGCGCCUAUAAUAUUAUAAUGUUGUUCCUGCAAAGUGAACACAUUGCUUACCAGGCAACGUAUGAAAAUGUUUCGACGUUGAAAGGUGAUUCCAUUUGGGUGGCACCAAACUCUGCGUCACUGAGGACCGAAACUUUUAAUAAUCUUUUGUAAUGCAAAACAUUCUAUGACACGAGGUCUUAGGACCAAAACCCAUUCAACCAUUUUGGCCUAAAGAGGAGCAAAUCUCAAAGUUCGACCAACUUUUUACUUCCCUCUGUCUGCAUUUUCCUUUCCGUUGGGCUGACUUAUUGCUUUUUCAACAUGUUCAUAUGAACCAAAAAAGUCAAACAUAUCAAAAAAUUGAAAUAGUAUAUUGACAAAACAAAGGCAACCAAAAGAUAAUUUUAACUUCAUUUCGAAAACGAGUAUAAAGUAUGGGCUUAUUGCACUUCACAAUGUGAAUUUGUGAAAGCAAAACUUAUAAGAUAUUCAACUUGAAAUGCAUGAGAGAGAGUAUAUACUUGCAACUUUGUACGGCAUGUUUUUCCUUUGUAUUAUUCAGUCAUUUUUAAUACAAUUUUACAAUAAAUGGGAGAGUGUAAUGUAAAACAUGGGUACGACCUCUCGAUGCAUGUACUUUCAGAUAGUAUUCGACAACCCGUAAUGUACAGGUCUUGAUUCUAGAAGGAAGUAACUCUGACAUAUAGGAUUUUAAGCUCAUGUUGAAGCAAUGCUACCCCUAAGUUCCAACUUU